rnacentral:rRNA from 2 species
UGCUAUACAUGCAGUCGAACGAACUCUGGUAUUGAUUGGUGCUUGCAUCAUGAUUUACAUUUGAGUGAGUGGCGAACUGGUGAGUAACACGUGGGAAACCUGCCCAGAAGCGGGGGAUAACACCUGGAAACAGAUGCUAAUACCGCAUAACAACUUGGACCGCAUGGUCCGAGCUUGAAAGAUGGCUUCGGCUAUCACUUUUGGAUGGUCCCGCGGCGUAUUAGCUAGAUGGUGGGGUAACGGCUCACCAUGGCAAUGAUACGUAGCCGACCUGAGAGGGUAAUCGGCCACAUUGGGACUGAGACACGGCCCAAACUCCUACGGGAGGCAGCAGUAGGGAAUCUUCCACAAUGGACGAAAGUCUGAUGGAGCAACGCCGCGUGAGUGAAGAAGGGUUUCGGCUCGUAAAACUCUGUUGUUAAAGAAGAACAUAUCUGAGAGUAACUGUUCAGGUAUUGACGGUAUUUAACCAGAAAGCCACGGCUAACUACGUGCCAGCAGCCGCGGUAAU